rnacentral:rRNA from 1 species
UACGUAGGUGGCAAGCGUUAUCCGGAUUUAUUGGGCGUAAAGGGAACGCAGGCGGUCUUUUAAGUCUGAUGUGAAAGCCUUCGGCUUAACCGGAGUAGUGCAUUGGAAACUGGGAGACUCGAGUGCAGAAGAGGAGAGUGGAACUCCAUGUGUAGCGGUGAAAUGCGUAGAUAUAUGGAAGAACACCAGUGGCGAAAGCGGCUCUCUGGUCUGUAACUGACGCUGAGGUUCGAAAGCGUGGGUAGCAAACAGG